rnacentral:lncRNA from 1 species
AAUAAAGUUUUUCACUCCUUCACAACCUACAACCUAUGUUGAACCCUGAGUGGACUUCCCCGUCUUGCCUAGCUGGGCUGCAUUACUAUUUCCUUCUCACUUCCAGAAUUUAUUUCUAGUUUGAAGAAUGAAUUAUAUGUUAAAAAUGUCAUCUGUUCAUUGAGUCUGUCCUCAGCUUGAAGAUGUUCUUGCAAUCACACGAAUGCCAUGAUGUCCUGGUUCUUCUCACAAAGAAAGAACAUGCUGUGCCCAUGAACAAGCCACAGUCAUCCAGAACCAAGAAUAUCAAGAUGUUAUUUUUCUAUCAACUCCUGGAAAAUAUGGCCUUACCUCUUCGUGAAAGUUUUUCUCUUGUCAUAGAGAAAUCCCACUCUUUCCCUUAACCUGUUACUGAUGCUCAGGAAGUCCUCAUCCAGGGAUAGAUGAACAGUGGUAGUCAAACGUGGUGGGUAUAUAGUAGUUUUCCAAAUAUAAAAUGGUGUUAAGUUCAUCCCAAAAGCAAUAAACAUUUUGCAAUUGUACCUAGACCA